rnacentral:rRNA from 1 species
AUUGAACGCUGGCGGCAGGCCUAACACAUGCAAGUCGAACGAGUGGCGACCGGGUGAGUAAUGUCUGGGAAACUGCCUGAUGGAGGGGGAUAACUACUGGAAACGGUAGCUCAUACCGCAUACCAUCGGAUGUGCCCAGAUGGGAUUAGCUAGUAGGUGGGGUAAAGGCGCACCUAGUCGACGAGCCCUAGCUGGUCUGAGAGGAUGAACAGCCACACGUGAACGGAGAAUCGGUCCAGACGCCUACGGGAAGCAGAAGUGGGGAAUAUUGCAAAAGAGGCGCAAGCCUGAUGCAGCCAUGCCGCGUGUAUGAAGAAGGCCUUCGGGUUGUAAAGUACUUUCAGCGGGGAGGCGUUACCCGCAGAAGAAGCACCGGCUAACACCGUGCCAGCAGCCGCGGUAAUGC